GACUUUUUAAUUUUUUUCAGAAAAGAGCACAGAAGGAUUUUGUUAAAAAAAAAAAAAGGAAGAGAAGUUGUCAUUAAUUUUUAACUUGCAAAAGUCUGCAGUUAGUUGAAAAGGAAAUGCAAAAGAGCUGAUUAUUCUUGAGAUCAAAAUAUUAGAGGUGUUGUGUCAAGAAAGGCAAAUGCAGAGAAAAUACGUUUACUGUAGCUGUUUCCAGUUCCACAACAUCCUGAAAGGGAGCCAAAGGCACGAUCCUAUGAAGAAUGACUGAUGGAGUGAUCUUCGUGCCUACCCUGGCUGUGUUUCUCCUGAGGGACACAACAAUAUUCAUGGGAAACAGUCCCGUGUCCAGAACUUGGCCAGAAACUUCUAUUCAGGCCCAGAAAUGUUCGUGUAUUCCCAUAGGAAACAGAGUUUCUGAAUGGAGGGUAAGAAUAACAACACUUUCAGUGUUGGAGCAGUUAGAGUUGAGUUCAUGCUUCAGUGAAAUCAAUGGAUUAUGCUGAAGUAUCCUGUGAGG